AAGGGCCUUCUGAACAGCCUCAGCUGCCGCGUGCCUUCUGUCUGCUGCGGGCACAGCAGCUGCACAGACCCCUCUUGUUGGGAGACAAGACAGGAUCCUUUCAGUCGUGUGACCUCUGCCUCCUCUCCAAUGAGUGCAAGGGAGAAAGAGAUGUCCAGAGCUGACCUCCCGGUACAAAGUCGUACAACCUGGUUAAGCGGGAAAAUAUGGGUGCAAAAAGAAUAAAGAGUGA